rnacentral:tRNA from 2 species
ACUCAUUUAGUAUAUAAAUUAUACCUAACUUCCAAUUAGAAGAACUCUAAACGAGAAUGAGUA